rnacentral:rRNA from 1 species
CAAGUCGAGCGGCAGCGCGGGGCAACCUGGCGGCGAGCGGCGAACGGGUGAGUAAUGCAUCGGAACGUGUCCAUGUCGUGGGGGAUAGCCCGGCGAAAGCCGGAUUAAUACCGCAUACGCCCGAGAGGGGAAAGUGGGGGACCGCAAGGCCUCACGCGAUUGGAUCGGCCGAUGUCCGAUUAGCUAGUUGGCGGGGUAAAGGCCCACCAAGGCGAUGAUCGGUAGCUGGUCUGAGAGGAUGAUCAGCCACACUGGGACUGAGACACGGCCCAGACUCCUACGGGAGGCAGCAGUGGGGAAUUUUGGACAAUGGGGGCAACCCUGAUCCAGCCAUUCCGCGUGAGUGAAGAAGGCCUUCGGGUUGUAAAGCUCUUUUGUCCGGAACGAAACGGGUAGCGUGAAUAUCGCUGCCUACUGACGGUACCGGAAGAAUAAGCACCGGCUAACUACGUGCCAGCAGCCGCGGUAAUACGUAGGGUGCGAGCGUUAAUCGGAAUUACUGGGCGUAAAGCGUGCGCAGGCGGUUUUGCAAGCCGGAUGUGAAAUCCCCGGGCUUAACCUGGGAAUGGCAUUUGGGACUGCAAGGCUGGAGUGCGGCAGAGGAGACUGGAAUUCCUGGUGUAGCAGUGAAAUGCGUAGAUAUCAGGAGGAACACCUAUGGCGAAGGCAGGUCUCUGGGCUGACACUGACGCUCAUGCACGAAAGCGUGGGGAGCAAACAGGAUUAGAUACCCUGGUAGUCCACGCCCUAAACGAUGUCGACUGGUUGUUGGGGGUUUGACACUCUCAGUAACGAAGCUAACGCGUGAAGUCGACCGCCUGGGGAGUACGGCCGCAAGGUUAAAACUCAAAGGAAUUGACGGGGACCCGCACAAGCGGUGGAUUAUGUGGAUUAAUUCGAUGCACCGCGAAAAACCUUACCUACCCUUGACAUGUCCUGAAACC